rnacentral:rRNA from 1 species
ACAUGCAAGUCGAGCGCGAACGGUCCUUCGGGGCCUAGUAGAGCGGCGCACGGGUGAGUAACACGUGGGUAAUCUGCCCUCCGGCGGGGGACAACCACUCGAAAGGGUGGCUAAUACCGCAUACGUCUGUCGGGUCUUCGGACCUGAUAGGGAAAGCUGGGUUUCGGCCUGGCACCGGAGGAGGGGCCCGCGUCGCAUCAGCUUGUUGGUGGGGUAAUGGCCUACCAAGGCUUAGACGCGUAGCUGGUCUGAGAGGAUGAUCAGCCACACUGGGACUGAGACACGGCCCAGACUCCUACGGGAGGCAGCAGUGGGGAAUAUUGGACAAUGGGCGGAAGCCUGAUCCAGCCAUGCCGCGUGAGUGAUGAAGGCCCUCGGGUCGUAAAGCUCUGUGGAGAGGGACGAAACGUUAGCGGUUAAUACCCGUUAAUUUGACGGUACCUCUUUAGCAAGCACCGGCUAACUCCGUGCCAGCAGCCGCGGUAAUACGGAGGGUGCAAACGUUGCUCGGAAUUAUUGGGCGUAAAGCGCGCGUAGGCGGUCUGGUAAGUCGGAUGUGAAAGCCCUGGGCUCAACCCAGGAAGUGCAUUCGAAACUGCCAAACUUGAGUACAGGAGAGGGUCGCGGAAUUCCCGGUGUAGAGGUGAAAUUCGUAGAUAUCGGGAGGAACACCAGAGGCGAAGGCGGCGACCUGGACUGAUACUGACGCUGAGGUGCGAA